UACGUAGGGGCAAGCGUUGUCCGGAUUAUUGGCGUAAGAGCGGUGUAGGCGGCCAGACAGGUCAGCUGUGAAACUCGAGGCUCAACCUCGAGACGUCGGUUGAACCGUCUGGCUAGAGUCCGGAAGAGGAGAGUGGAAGUUCCCGGUGAUAGUGCGGUGGAAAUACGGCAGAGUAUCGGGAAGAACACCCGUGGCGAAGGCGGCUACUCUGGACGGUACUGACGCUGAGACGCGAAAGCGUGGGAGCGA
rnacentral:rRNA from 1 species